rnacentral:lncRNA from 10 species
GUUUUUGAGGCUGCUGAGUAACAGGAACCGCAGUCUUUGUUGCCUGGAUGUAUCCUGGCAACCUGUCAACAAAAGGGACGGGACUGAGUUCUCUAGUAACUGAUGGGAAACAGAGCAAAGUAGGUAUGGAUUUCAGCUUUCUUUUAAAUUGACUCCAGGAACUUUACCGAUGGACUGAGCAACCAACAGGGACAGAUAAAUUUAAGUCACAGGCUCUUCUUGAUGUAGAAACACAGCGUUUUAUUUUAAAGAAGAAAAGAAAACAAUAUUUACUGAUUAUCUUAUUGAUCUUUUCUAGGGACUUUAAAAAAUACUGUAACGGUUAAUAUUGAGUGUCAACUUGAUUGGAUUGAAGGAUGCAAAGUAUUGUUCCUGGGUGUGUCUGUGAGGGUGUUGCCAAAGGAGAUUAACAUUCCAGUCAGUGGACUGGGAAAGGCAGACCCACCCUCAAUCUGGGUGGGCACCAUCUAAUCAGCUGCCAGUGUGGCCAGAAUAAAGCAGGAAAAUGUGGAAGGACUUGACUUGCUGAGUCUUCUGGUCUUCAGCUUUCUCCCAUGCUGGAUGCUUCCUGCCUUAGAGCAUUGGACUCCAGGUCUUCAGCUUUUGGACUCUCGGACUUACACCAGUGGUUUGCCAGGGGCUCUCAGGCCUUUGGACACAGACUGAAGGCUGCACUGUCGGCUUCCCUACUUUUGAGGUUUUGGGCUUCCCUACUCCUCAGCUUGCAGAUGGCCUAUUGUGGAACUUUACCCUGUGAUCAUAACUCUUUUUGCCCAACAGAAUGUGGACAGCAGAACUGCUUUAUAAAUUGGGAGGAAGGCACACCUGGAAGAUGGUGAUGCCAGCACAAUGGGAAAUGUGCCAGUGUGUAGAAUUCUUCUCUGGUCUUUGUAAAUAGAAAUGCUCACUUUCUAUGUGAAACACCUAAAUGAUUCGAUGCCAAACGCAGAAUAAGUUUAAAGGUAGAACAAGCAAAUAGCUAAACAAGGGAGUGUUUCAGAAAGGAAAUAUGUCAAGCCUUGGCUCAAAAGCAAAACAGUCUUUUCAUGAAGGGAAGUGUUCACAGCAUCUAUUAAAUGCAUACUCAGUCACAAAAAUAAAACCCAUCUGUUUAAUAUUAACAUUUGUAAUAAACAUUUUAAAAAAAGGAAUGUAGAAGGCAAAAAUGUAUUGUAAAACAAAAUGUACACUCUUG